ensembl:lincRNA
GAAAUCAGUCAGCUUUCAAUAUCUCGGACUUUUUUGACAGAUCUCCAUAUUUCACUUCUGUAGAUGACAGUAUUUCUUGAGACAUCUUACUGGAGAAGUGGUGCCCAUGCCUAAGAGACUGAGGGGGCAGUACCACCAAUUGACUCUCCUUGCACCGUAUACUGUGCAGUGGAGGUAGGGGCUUGAGAAGCCCCUUGCCAUGGUCACUAGAUGCCACCAGGAGAGGGAAGAACUGUCCAGAGUGAGGAAGUUCUCUAAAUUCCACAUAUAGUCUUCUCCAACAACAAAGGGUCAGGCUCUGGCCCUACUUCUCUGCCAAUCAGCAGGAGCCUCUUCCACCAAGGAGAUCUGAAGUUCUUAUUCAUGAUCAUGUUUGAAACCAGAUCUAGAUAUGAAUUCAACUGUCAAACACUCCAGACUUCUCCUUGACUCCACUCAGAGGACAGGUGGUGCACCUCACCUUUCAUGUGGUCAGAUGUCCUACGACAAAAUGUUCACCAUGGCAUGG